ACUCCAUCCAGGACAGUCAAGCUCCCGAGUACGUACACCAGGUGGGGCUCCCCGGCUCGGGACAAAGGACCUGGCCACGGAUGCAAGAGAUGCACCCGGGAGGACAGCGAGGCUGGGGUCCUGCAAACUUGGAGACCCUAGGACGCGUGGGGGGAAGAUUCCAGGUUACCUGAGCGGCCAUAAAAGACAGAUCCAUGGUGUCACGGCUGGUGUGGCUGCUGCUGCUGCUGCUGCUGCUGCUGCUGCUGCCCCUGCUCCAGUCCUCGCUGUUGCUGCUGCUGUCGUCGCCGUCGCCGCUGCGAGUCCAGCCUCCCGCACAAUUAUCAGAGAGCGGGCGGAACCGCGAGCAGGUGCCCUCGGGCCCCGGCGACCGUGACCUCAGCAGCCCUGGCGUGGUGGCGAGUCUCCAGCCCUCUCAGCGCCCUGGCUGGCUCCAGGCUUCGGCUCCAGACGCCUCCAAGUGGGCGGGAGACCCCGGGCGCGGCGCCCCUCCACGUGACCACUCCCAACCACACCCCCGAGGGCGGGCCAAGCCAGACCCUUGAUUUCUAGCAGUCCUCUCUCUACCCUGGCCAAAUGGGGAAAGUGAGGUCUGAGGCGAGCCAGCUGGGGCGAUGGGUGCCCUUCCCAGGGCACUUGACUCCAGCCCCAAAAGUGCUUUCCGGGAGUUGUUUGAGUAGAUGUGUCUGGCUUUCGGUGGCAACCCUGCUCCUACACUUCUGAAGGCUUGGCUCUUGAACUGAGCAGAACAAAGCGGAAAGUCUAGCAUUUUUGUAUUGUGCGGUUUGGGUGAAUUAGUGCUCGUUUGAAUCUGAGUAUCCUCGUUUGUAGAAUGGGAGUAACGGAACCUAGGGAUUAUGUCUCCACAGGAUGAGCUGUAGGAAGGCCCUUAGUGGAGACCAUGGAGUGAAUCGCAUACAUAACCUGCAAACAGUGCCUGUGGUUCAGUUACCAGAAAAGUAGCCCAAGUCACGGUUAUCGAUGCAGUGAAGGGAGCCACAGAGGUACCCAGAGGGGCCUGUUGCUCUCUGGGAGUGUGUGUGUCCAUCCCUCCAGUCUCUUUCCCCCCUCCCCCUUCCUUUUCUCCUUCCCACCUCCUGCCCCGUGCUUCCGGUUUGUUUCCUUUCUUGCUUCCUGGGUCUCUAACUCUUCCAGGCUCAACUCUUCCUCGCUCCCUCACUCUGGCAUCUAUCACUUCUGCACCCUUCCAGGCCAAGCACUGGCCUUCAGUCUCAGUGCCCCCCGGAACCCCACUGGUUCCCACCGGGCUACAGCAGCGGGUCUUAACCGACAUAAUGUUGCAACCCUUCAAUACAGUUCCUCAUGCUGUGGUGAUCCCUGAACAUAAAAUUAUUUUCGUUGCUACUUCACGACUGUAAUUUUGCUAUUGUUAUGGUUCGUAAUGUAAAUAUCUGAUAUGCAGGAUAUCUGAUAUGCGAUUCUUGUGAAAGGGUCAUUUGACCCCAAAGGGGUCGUGAUGCCAAGGUUGAGAACGACUGCUCUAUGGCCUGGCAGUUCCUCAGCCCACCCAGAACCUUCACAUCCACUGCACUUUCACCAUGAAGCCAUUCUUGCAGAGGUUUGUAGGUGUGUGUGUGUUUGUCUAUGUGUUUAUGUGUGCAUAUGUGUGAGUGCAUAUGUAUGUAUGUGUGCAUUGUGUGUAUGUGUGUGUGCAUGUGUGGUGUACAACUUAAACAACAAUGCCUCCUCCAUGCAGUCACACAGAAAGAAUAAAUGGAGCUGGAGAAAUGGCCCAGCCAUGAAAGGCUCAGGCUCACAAUUACACAGACUAAGCAAUGGUCUUUAAGCCCUGAGGGCCAUCUCUUCAAAGCUUUAUUGCUUGCCCCGCUGCCCCAGCCGCCUGGAAUCUAAGUGUUCAUGGUCCCCGACUGGUCUGUUCCCAUCUCUGUACUUCUGUCACUUCAAGAAAACUCUAUAAAUGGAACCAUGACUAAUAACCCUCUAGUUAGUGUCAAUCAACCCAGCUACCUGGAGGUUCAUCCAGGUUGUUAUAGAGAACAAUUUGCUCCUUUUUUAUUGCUGAGUAGUAUUUUAUAUUAUUGACGUACCACGGUUAGCUUAACUACAUAUCUGUCAAAGGAUGUCUGUGAUGUUUCUGUUCUUUGGUGUUUAUGAAAACAUCUGCUAUAUACAUUUAUGUCUGAGUUAUUUUCAUGAACACGUCUGUCACCCAUUCCUAAGGCUGUGGUCCUGGAGCAAUGUCACUUCUACAGUAUGUCCAGUAGAUUAGGGCCUUGCCUAGUGUGAUGGUUUGUAUAUCCUUGGACCAGGGAGUGGCACCAUCUGAAGGUGUGGCCUUGUUGGAAUAGGUGUGACCUGGUUGGAAUGGGUGUGUCACUGUGGGUGUGGGUAUAAGAUCCUCACUCUAGUUGCCUGUCAGUCAGUCUUCCACUAGCAGCCUUUGGAUGAAGACGUAGAACUCUCAGCUCCUCCUGUGCCAUGCCUGCCUGGAUACUGCCAUGCUCCCACCUUGAUGAUAAUGGACUGAACCUCUGAACCUGUAAGCCAGCCCCAAUUAAAUGUUGUUUUUU
rnacentral:lncRNA from 1 species